rnacentral:rRNA from 1 species
UACUCCUGACUGACCGAUAGUGAACCAGUACCGUGAGGGAAAGGCGAAAAGAACCCCGGCGAGGGGAGUGAAAAAGAACCUGAAACCGUGUACGUACAAGCAGUGGGAGCCUCUUUAUGGGGUGACUGCGUACCUUUUGUAUAAUGGGUCAGCGACUUAUAUUCUGUAGCAAGGUUAACCGAAUAGGGGAGCCGGAGGGAAACCGAGUCUUAACUGGGCGUUAAGUUG